CGCGCAGGCGGCCUUUUAAGUUGGAUGUGAAAGCCUACGGCUCAACCGUAGAACUGCAUCCAAAACUACUAGGCUAGAGUGUGGGAGAGGAAGGUGGAAUUAGUUGUGUAGGGGUAAAAUCCGUAGAGAUAACUAGGAAUACCAAAAGCGAAGGCAAUCUUCUGGAACAUUACUGACGCUGAGGCGCGAAAGUGUGGGGAGCAAACA
rnacentral:rRNA from 1 species